rnacentral:lncRNA from 10 species
CUGGCUAACAUGAUGAAACCCCGUCUCUACUAAAAAUACAAAAAAUUAGCCGGACGUUGAUGGUGCACGCCUGUAGUCCCAGCUACUCGGGAGGCUGAGGCAGGAGAAUGGCGGAAAACCCGGGAGGCAGAGCUUGCAGUGAGCCUAGAUCGCGCCACUGCACUCCAGCCUGGGCAACAGAGCGAGACUCUGUCUCAAAAAACAGACAAACAAAAACUAUGGUAUGGCUUAAAAGCAGUACAAAAAAAUAGACAACAUAAUACCAGUUUCAGACAUUUACUCACAGCCUUUCCAAAUAAAGUGUUCUUUAAAGAUGAGUUUAUAAUAUUUAGGUCUAAAAAUUAUUUCUUGGAUUUUUUUUGAGAUUACAAAAGCAAAAUGUACUUGUUAAGAAACAAUACGAGAAUGUAAAAGACAAAUUUUCUCUCAUACCCCCAAGACAAAUAGUGCUAACUGAUGUUUAUUCCCCUGUACCUUUCUCCUUGCUCAUCAUACAGAGAGAGCACACACACACAGAUCCAAAAUAAAACUAAACUGUAUAUAUCACUCUGUGACAUGGUUCCUUUUUUUGGUUGUUGUUUUUGUUUUUCUGAGACGACCUUGCUUUCUUGCCCAGGCUGGAGGGCAGCUCAAUGCAGCAUCGAUCUCCUAGGCUCAAGCAAUCCUCCCACCUCAGCCUCCCAAGUAGCUGGAAUUACAGGUGCUCACCACCAUGCCUGGCUAAUUUUUUUUCUUUUUUUUUUUUUUUAGUAGAGAUGAGGUCUCCCGAUGUUGCCCAGGCUGGUCUCAAACUCCUAAACUCAAAUGAUCCUUCUGCCUCGGCCUCUUAAAGUGCUGGGAUUACAGGCGUGGGCCACUGUGCCAGGCUGCUUCUCUUUCUUUCCAAUUUAACAAUGCAUCGGGGGAAAGGGUCUAAAGCAGUGGCCUCUAAAGGCAGACUCUUGGUUUGCUGCUACUCUCCAAGCCCAGCUUACUCUGUUAAAAACAGUGCAAAUCCUUCCAUACUCUCAUCCAUGCUCCUAUAACCAUAUCUUUUUCAUAAACACACACAUAGACCGACUGCUUUUUACUCAUCUAAGUUUUUAAAAAUGGAUUAUAUAAAAUUAACAAAAUUUUAUUAUCAAUAUUAACCAUUAAAUUUUAUAAUUAAAAUAAUUUUAUUAUCAAAAUCUCAUGAAAUGCCUUAAGAAGUAUAGCUCUAAUUUGUUAUUUUUAAUGGCUGUAUGCUUUUUAAAUGUUAUUAACCAAUAAUCAAUAAUUAUUGUCUUGAUGGAUAUACAUUUUGUUUUCACACUACAAUGCCAUAAUAAACAUUUUUGUAGCUUUGACUCUAUAAACAAUGCUGUAAUAAAUUUUGUAGCUUUGACACUACAAUGCUAUAAUAAACAUUUUGGUGCAUAUAUCUAUUUAACUGGUAUAGAUCUUUAACAAUGAGGCUGAGUUUUAAAGUAUGUACGUUUUCAGUUCUAAAGCUGCUAGAUUGCUUUUUCAAAAUAUCCUAAUGAUUUAGAUUCAUAGGCCACACAUCAGAAUACCCUUUCCCCACAUUCCUGUCAAGAACAGGUGGUGGUGGUUUAAAUUUUUCCCAACCGCAUGAGUGUAAAGGGAUCUCUUUUUUUUUUUUUUUUUUUUUUUCCCCAGAUGGAGUUGCACUCUGUCACCCAAGCUGGAGUGCAGUGCCGUGAUCUUGGCUCACGGCAACCUCCACCUCCCAGGUUCAAGCAAUUCUCUGCCUCAGCCUCCCAAGUAGCUGGGAUUACAGGCACCUGCCACCAUGCCCAGCUAAUUUUUGUAUUUUUAGUAGAGUCGGGGUUUCACCAUCUUCGCCAGGCUGGUCUUGAACUCCUGACCUCGUGAUCCACCCGCCUCGGCCUCCCAGAGUGCUGGGAUUACAGGCGUGAGCCACUGCGCCCGGCCAGGAUCUCAUUUUUUUUCUUUAAUCUGCAAUUCCCAG